rnacentral:rRNA from 1 species
AUGAACGCUAGCUACAGGCUUAACACAUGCAAGUCGAGGGGCAGCAUGAACUUAGCUUGCUAAGUUUGAUGGCGACCGGCGCACGGGUGAGUAACACGUAUCCAACCUGCCGAUGACUCGGGGAUAGCCUUUCGAAAGAAAGAUUAAUACCCGAUGGCAUAAUUCUUCCGCAUGGUAGAAUUAUUAAAGAAUUUCGGUCAUCGAUGGGGAUGCGUUCCAUUAGGUUGUUGGCGGGGUAACGGCCCACCAAGCCUUCGAUGGAUAGGGGUUCUGAGAGGAAGGUCCCCCACAUUGGAACUGAGACACGGUCCAAACUCCUACGGGAGGCAGCAGUGAGGAAUAUUGGUCAAUGGACGAGAGUCUGAACCAGCCAAGUAGCGUGAAGGAUGACUGCCCUAUGGGUUGUAAACUUCUUUUAUACGGGAAUAAAGUGAGGCACGUGUGCCUUUUUGUAUGUACCGUAUGAAUAAGGAUCGGCUAACUCCGUGCCAGCAGCCGCGGUAAUACGGAGGAUCCGAGCGUUAUCCGGAUUUAUUGGGUUUAAAGGGAGCGUAGGCGGACGCUUAAGUCAGUUGUGAAAGUUUGCGGCUCAACCGUAAAAUUGCAGUUGAUACUGGGUGUCUUGAGUACAGUAGAGGCAGGCGGAAUUCGUGGUGUAGCGGUGAAAUGCUUAGAUAUCACGAAGAACUCCGAUUGCGAAGGCAGCCUGCUGGACUGUAACUGACGCUGAUGCUCGAAAGUGUGGGUAUCAAACAGGAUUAGAUACCCUGGUAGUCCACACAGUAAACGAUGAAUACUCGCUGUUUGCGAUAUACAGUAAGCGGCCAAGCGAAAGCGUUAAGUAUUCCACCUGGGGAGUACGCCGGCAACGGUGAAACUCAAAGGAAUUGACGGGGGCCCGCACAAGCAGUGGAGUAUGUGGUUUAAUUCGAAGCAACGCGAAGAACCUUACCAGGUCUUGACAUCGAUCUAAAGGCUCCAGAGAUGGAGAGAUAGCUAUAGAGAAGACAGGUGGUGCAUGGUUGUCGUCAGCUCGUGUCGUGAGAUGUUGGGUUAAGUCCCGCAACGAGCGCAACCCUUAUUGCCAGUUACUACGUUAAGAGGACUCUGGCGAGACUGCCGUUGACAAAACGGAGGAAGGUGGGGAUGACGUCAAAUCAUCAUGCCCUUUAUGACCUGGGCUACACACGUACUACAAUGGGUGUCAACAAAGAGAAGCGAACCCGCGAGGGAGAGCAAAGCUCAAAAACACACCCCCAGUUCAGAUCGCAGGCUGCAACCCGCCUGCGUGAAGUAGGAAUCGCUAGUAAUCGCGGGUCAGCAUACCGCGGUGAAUACGUUCCCGGGCCUUGUACACACCGCCCGUCACACCAUGAGAGUCGGUAACACCCGAAGCCGGUGGCCUAACCGCAAGGAAGGAGCUGUCUAAGGUGGGACUGAUGAUUGGGGUG